AACGAACGCUGGCGGCAUGCCUAACACAUGCAAGUCGAACGAAGGCUUCGGCCUUAGUGGCGCACGGGUGCGUAACGCGUGGGAAUCUGCCCUUUGGUUCGGAAUAACAGCUGGAAACGGCUGCUAAUACCGGAUGAUGACGAAAGUCCAAAGAUUUAUCGCCAGAGGAUGAGCCCGCGUUGGAUUAGGUAGUUGGUGGGGUAAAGGCCUACCAAGCCGACGAUCCAUAGCCGGUCUGAGAGGAUGAUCAGCCACACUGGGACUGAGACACGGCCCAGACUCCUACGGGAGGCAGCAGUGGGGAAUAUUGGACGAUGGGCGCAAGCCUGAUCCAGCAAUGCCGCGUGAGUGAUGAAGGCCGUAGGGUUGUAAAGCUCUUUGACCCGGGAAGAUAAUGACUGUACCGGGAGAAUAAGCCCCGGCUAACUCCGUG
rnacentral:rRNA from 1 species